GCCUUCGUGGUGUAGUGGUCAGCACGCUCGACGCAUAACCGAGAGGUCCGUGGUUCGAUUCCCGGCGAAGGCU
rnacentral:tRNA from 1 species